UAAGCUUUGCUUGAACAUUAAUUUCAACCAAGUGCAUGUUUUUAGUUUGUUUUGUUUUUUUACCCUUAGAAACCACAGCUAUUUACACCUUCAUAAAGCAGGGCAUCAUAUCCGAAGCGGAAAUAGGCUUCUCUAGAGUGAACAUGGGAUGGAGUAGACGUUCAACUCAACAGGCUAAUCAUUUGUAAUAGCCGCCAUUACAGAAAAAGACCACUAGAGUGCGCCAAAGUCCGCAGAAAAAUCACACAGCUGAGCGGCGCCGUUCUUCAUUUUUCAUCUCCUACAAACGCCUCAUGCAGUGAAAAAGCCAGAUGUGUCUCCUGUAAUGGAAAAGAAAGGGGGGAAAAAACUUUCAACAAUUCCACUUUACAAAUUUUCACUGGACAGGACUGAAGUAUCAGCUAUCAAAUGUUGUAUUCACCACAUGUGAUGUGCUUCACUACAGCACUGUUAUGCAAAACCAGGGCCGACGGGUCUCUUUUCUCCCGUUGUCACCUCUUUUGUUUAAGGUGUUUAUUAGAAGUAUAAGAGAGAUGAAGCAGACAGGGCAACAGCGACGCCUUUGCUGACCUGGCGGCAGAGAUCGCUGGUUUAGGAUGACUCUCUCCUCCUUCACCAUCCAUCCGUAGCACUUCCUCCGCUCACCUGCCCCUCCCUCAGUCCCUCUGACCUCCAUUCCCAACUCUUCUGGCUGAUUACUCCUAAUGUAAUUUUAAUUAAAAACUGUGGUGUCAAAGGGUUUAGCCUGCCUGAGAAGCGGGUGCAGAUUGUGGCACAGUGGCAGACCCCUUCACUUGCUUGAGAGGAAAUGCAUCCUGACAUUGCUCGGGUGGUGCCAACACAACUAGAGCCAAGGUAAAAUAAAAAGGCUUUCUGUUUUACUUAAAUAUUGUAUACGCUUAUGCUGCAGGGGUGGAAAAGAAUCCUGAAUCUUUUCUUUUACUUAUUUGUUUCAUUUGGAUUGCACACUGUAUUGGAUUGUGUAAGUUAUGUGAACGUUCAUUUACACACAAUACACCAGUAAUUCUCCAUCCCUGUAGGCCUGAUAUGUAUUAAACUGUUAUCCAGGCAUGCAUACAUACAUACAUAUAGUCUGGAUACAAGGCAUGGACAGUUUACAAAUUUCUCAAUUAUUCAAUUAAUCAAUUUGUUUCUCAGUCUUUAUUUCUGCAGAAAUAUAUGUAUAUAUAUAUAUAUAUAUAUGUGUGUGUGUGUGUGUGUAUAUAUAUAUAUAUAUAUAUAUAUAUAUAUAUAUAUAUAUAGAUAUAGAUAUAUACAUAUAUAAAUAUACUGAGUCCAAUAUAUUAGCAGCAAUGACUAGCAGUCAGGAAAGGUGAAGCUAUCCUGGAGGGAGUCAUCCUAAUAUAAUGAUGUUUAGUUGACAUUGACAAUAAUUGCUGGAGCCAAAUGUCACAGGGGUGACCUGUGGAAGGUGCCCCACAGCAGGACUCAACAGCAGAAGUCUGCCUGUAGGUUUGUAAUCCCCUCACCCGAGCCGUUGGAUUAUGUGCUCUCUAUCGACCCUGAAGAGGCUCCCCACGGCUUGGGCUUAAACACUCUCUAAAAUCUCAUCUCCACACCCCAUCUGCCGGCUGAGUGAUGUCUUGGAAGUCGAAGGAGUAGAGAUGGGAGCAGACGAGCAGACGGAGGAAAUGAGAACACGCCUCCUACUCCUUGCUGCGGCUCUGCACCGCAGAGGAGAGCAGACUUUAGGAAAACAUGCUAUAUACGCCUUCAGGACAGAUUUUUAAAUAUGCACAUCAAAAUUACUAUAAGAGUUAGUUAUAGGUUUGUGAUUUUAUUCAUGUUUAUAUUGGUAUUAUUUAUAUUCUCCCUUAAAUGAAUGUGUAAUUGAUUGUUGUUGCUGUCAAAGUAUUAAAUUUCUUGUUGCCAAUUACACUCCUCCAUUAAUAUCCGUGUGCUAAAUGGAUCCAUUUCACAAAUAAAAAAAGUUCAAACAUAGAUCAAUAAUUGCUUUUCCACAGAUCAAUGACCCUUUAACAUUCUCUGACAGGGGCCUUGUUUUGUGGCCGUCAGUGGACAGUUGGAGGAGCUGGUGGUUGGCCCUGAGCAGUGAGGCAUGUCGUAAGAGGGUUUAACUUUGCUAACCUCCUUCUGCCAGGUUCAUGGGGCCCUGCUGUUUGGGUAAUAUUGGAUCAGUGUUGGGAGCCCAUGUCCCUGCCAUAUCAGUCAGCACGCUACCUGGGGUAGUGAGCGCUUUCCUCUAUGGAGCCAACUGGACUUGUUCAGGAUUCAAUUUCUAUGUUUUUUUAUAUUUCAUAUUUUUGAAAUUCCUCGAACGUUGAAUUUCAUAUGCAUUAAAGCCACAUGAAGCAAGAUUUGUUGACGUCUCUGACAACAAAUAAUCUCUGACAUAACAGAACAAAAACAUGUGGGCCCAUAGCAGUGAGUUCAUUAGAGACCAGAACAACAAAUAUUUUUCAUGUUAUUAGGAGUUCUCUUAAAGUUAAUGUUCCAGUGUAUAAUCAGUCCACAAACAGUACAUUAGAUGUACUUUGUACAUGUGUUUUACCACAACCGCUUUUGACAAUGUACUGCGGUAAGUGGACUCACAAGAAAAAAAAUAAAACCCAUUGAUAGAAAAGGGGAACCAUGGACUCACAAAGUAAAUUAGGAAGUAGAUUUGUAUGUAGGUAGGUACUUUUGGCACAAUACCUCUUUUCUUUUCUUUUCUUUUCUUUUCUUUUCUUUUCUUUUCUUUUUUUAAAUACAGCCUACAAGAAAAAGAAAUGCCGUUAAGCACCUGUGCAUUAGCUGUCGUUUCCCUUCCUUGUAUUAAAUAAUGAAUGCAGCCAAACCACUAUUUGUAACAUUAAAAAACAAAAAAACAUGGAGUCAGAAGGAAACCACUCAAGCUGAAAUAUUAAAAGUAUGCACCAUAUGUGGUCUUGGCUUGUUUAAGUACAGCCAGCACUAGGAUCAUAGUAAAACAGCCACACACUGUAUAGAGAUGAAAAACAAACAUUGUUUUAUAUUUUUUUCUACAGUGAAAAGCAAGCUUUCGUUGAGAUAUCUGAUUUAUCACAGGAAAAAAAGAUUUUGGCCAGAAACCUGUUGAGUGCUCAUAAAUAUCAAUUAUUUGUAUAUUGUAGACUUAUAUAACUUUUUUUUUUGUCAAAACAGUUUUACAGGAUGACACGCACCACAUAAAGCUCUUGUAUUUGUCAAGAAUUCAAGCGAUAUUAAAAUAUCAUUUUUAUCAUAUUUG